rnacentral:misc_RNA from 1 species
GAUGAAGAACGCAGCGAAAUGCGAUAAGUAGUGUGAAUUGCAGAAUUCAGUGAAUCAUCGAAUCUUUGAACGCUCAUUGCGCCCCUUGGUAUCCCGAGGGGCAUGCCUGUUCGAGCGUCAUUUCACCACUCAAGCCUGGCUUGGUGUUGGGCGACGUCCCCUUUGGGGACGCGCCUCGAAACGCUCGGCGGCGUGGCACCGGCUUUAAGCGUAGCAGAAUCUUUCGCUUUGGAAGUCGGGGCCCCGUCUGCCGGAAGACCUACUCGCAAGGUUGACCUCGGAUCAGGCAGGGAUACCCGCUGAACUUAAGCAUAUCAAUAAGCGGAGGA